GCCUGGGUGGCUCAGUCGGUUAAGCAUCCGACUUCGGCUCAGGUCAUGAUCCUACGGUUCGUGGGUUCGAGCCCCGCAUCGGGCU
rnacentral:tRNA from 1 species